CAGUCGCCGCGGUAAUACGUAGGGCGCAAGCGUUAAUCGGAAUUACUGGGCGUAAAGCGUGCGCAGGCGGUUAUAUAAGUCAGAUGUGAAAUCCCCGGGCUCAACCUGGGAACUGCAUUUGAGGCUGUAUGGCUAGAGUGUGUCAGAGGGGGGUAGAAUUCCACGUGUAGCAGUGAAAUGCGUAGAUAUGUGGAGGAAUACCGAUGGCGAAGGCAGCCCCCUGGGAUAACACUGACGCUCAUGCACGAAAGCGUGGGGAGCAAACAGGAUUAGAUACCCCCGUAGUCCCUGUCUCUUAUAC
rnacentral:rRNA from 1 species